CCUACGGGUGGCUGCAGUGAGGAAUAUUGGUCAAUGGGCGUAAGCCUGAACCAGCCAAGUCGCGUGAGGGAUGAAGGAUCUAUGGUUCGUAAACCUCUUUUAUAAGGGAAUAAAGUGUGGCACGUGUCCUAUUUUGUAUGUACUUUAUGAAUAAGGAUCGGCUAACUCCGUGCCAGCAGCCGCGGUAAUACGGAGGAUUCAAGCGUUAUCCGGAUUUAUUGGGUUUAAAGGGUGCGUAGGCGGUCGGUUAAGUUAGAGGUGAAAUCUUGAGGCUCAACUUCGGAAUUGCAAUUGAUACUGGUCGGCUAGAGAGUAGUUGCGGUAGGCGGAAUGCAUGGUGUAGCGGUGAAAUGCUUAGAGAUCAUACAGAACACCGAUUGCGAAGGCAGCUUACCAAGCUACGUCUGACGUUGAUGCACGAAAGCGUGGGGAGCAAACAGGAUUAGAUACCCCAGUAGUC
rnacentral:rRNA from 1 species